rnacentral:misc_RNA from 1 species
UUUCCGUAGGUGAACCUGCGGAAGGAUCAUUACCGAGUUAGGGUCCUCUGGGCCCGAUCUCCAACCCAUUGUUUAAUCGACCUUUGUUGCUUUGGCGGGCCGCCUCGGCCACCGGCUCCGGCUGGUGCGUGCCCGCCAGAGGACCCCAAACUCUGAAUGUUAGUGUCGUCUGAGUACUAUCUAAUAGUUAAAACUUUCAACAACGGAUCUCUUGGUUCUGGCAUCGAUGAAGAACGCAGC